rnacentral:lncRNA from 1 species
AUCCCCUCCCCUCAGUCUACACAUCCUGCUGGAAUCCACUCCCCUUGACUGUGGUCUGAAGUUUGUCAUUGCCUGUUACUCUGUGGAAGAGGGCACAGUGAUGCGCAGGCAGUUCUGAGACUGGGUCCCAAACAGUCCGGGGCUCCCCUCCUUCUGGCUCUGACCUGUGUUCUCUCUCUCCCUCAUAUCCCUCACUCUGGGGAACAAGACUGUGUGUUCUAGGUUGCACCCUAGAGAGGCCGACGUGGCCUGGCCUUGAAGGAGACUCACCGACAGAGGGGCCUGCAGGCCUUCAGUCGCAUGGCGCCCUCCAGGACCCCAGAGUGCGCUCAGAGCAGGAGGGAUGCAGAUCCUGCCUCAGUUCCGAGCACAGCCCGACCCCCUGAGAGCCUCUGGCAGAAGCUCCCAGCUGAGCGCUGCUGGAUUCCUGGUCCAGUGCAACCAUGACAUAAUCAAGUUGUAGGUGCCAGGCAGUCUCUGAGGAGUUGUUGAUAGAUGAAGAAAGAGUCCUGUUCACAACCAAGAAAGCAAGGUACCAGUGAGAUUCAUUGUGGGCCAACAGUGUCACCUUUCUACAAAAAGAUACGAUUCCUAUAACCGGGUCAACCCAUCAUCAUUCUCAGAGCAACAACAAACUUCCCUCAGGAUCAAAGAUGAUCACUUCAAGGUUUUGGAACUGUGCAUUACUGUGCUGAAAUAACGAUGAAGCUCAUACAUGUAAAAAUAGAUGGAUUAGGUAGAAAACAUAGUUUUAUUUCCACUUCAACUAUAACAUUCCUUCCCUGAUUUUCUAAGAGUUGUGCCUCUGCAGCACGGUCUGGGGAUUUAUUCAUUUUUUACACUGUGUUUCUCUCUGGUGUAUUUCUCUUGCAGGACUUCUGGGAAUUUGGGAAAUAAUGAAAUUUGGUUCCGUAUGAUGUUCAUAGACAAAUGCAAUGGAACAGACUGACCACAGGUGGGAGACACACCUACAAGAUAUUCAUCAUCACUGACAGAAGAAAAGAACAAUGAAAGACCCUGGAAUCCGUCAUGCCUGAAGGCUGACAUUUCUAAACCCUCUCCUUACUGUCCACUUUCCCUAUAUAAUUGCUUCAAGAUUCUGUAAUCCUUGAAGAUGGUUUUUUUUGAGACAUUAGUCUACCAUCUUCCUGAUUAUGCUGGCUCAUAAAAUUAAAACUUCCUUUCUCCAUUCCUAACUUGUUGUAAUUAAUUGACUCAG